rnacentral:SRP_RNA from 1 species
GCCAGGCAUGGUGGCUCACGCCUGUAAUCCCAGCACUUUGGGAGGCCAAGGCAGGUGGAUUAACUGAGGUCAGGAGUUCGAGACCGGCCUGGCCAACAUGGUGAAACCCUGUCUUUACUAAAAAUACAAGAAAUUAGCUGGGUGNNNNNNNNNNACCACACCCAGCUAAUUUUUCAUAUUUUUAGUAGAGACAGAGUUGUGCCAUGUUGACCAGGCUGGUCUUGAACUCCUGGCCUCAAGUGAUCCACCUGCCUC